rnacentral:rRNA from 1 species
UACGGAGGGGGCUAGCGUUGUUCGGAAUUACUGGGCGUAAAGCGCACGUAGGCGGCUUUGUAAGUUAGAGGUGAAAGCCCAGGGCUUAACCCUGGAAUUGCCUUUAAGACUGCAUCGCUAGAAUCGUGGAGAGGUGAGUGGAAUCCCGGGUGUAGCGGUGGAAUGCGUAGAGAUCCGGAAGAACACCGGUGGCGAAGGCGGCCUGCUGGGCAGUUUAGCUGACACUGAGGCGCGACAGCGUGGGGAGCAAACAGG